AUUCUCCGGGAUCCAUUCGUCUUGGUAUUUUGACCGAUGGUUUGUAGUCUGAUGGUGGUGAACUGGCUCGUGAUGAAUCCCGUUUUCUUUGUUGCUGGAAAUAUAGGCAACUCAUUCAUUACAGACAUUUCAAAUUUGGCCAUCACACUGUCUAUUUUAUACCUACAUACCCAUUACAGCAUAAUGGGCACAUAUCAUCCUGGUAUGCUGAUAGUCCCAGGAUUAAUUUAAAAGUAAUAUAAUAAUUACUCAAUACUAACAAUUAUUCUAAACUAUUCACCUUAUUGUCCCAAUGUUGAUGCAGGCAUCGGAGUAGGAUAUUUGCUUUGUCUGUUACAAUUACAGCUAGAAAAAAAGAACACAAUGCAUUUUGAUAGUUUUUAUAGUCACAGGGAAGUAUUGCUUGCAAGGACUUGGCUUGACCAUAAAAGGUCUCCAUGGUACAUUUUAAUUAUUGAAUUGAAUCAAUAUAUCUGAAUGCCAUGCAAAGAAGGUGAAUAUAUAUCCAAAGGAGAGUGGCUGCAUAUCUGAAAAACAUCUUAUCAAAUGUGGUAUGAGAAAUUACUUCCUAACAUAGACAAAAAAUCUUGACAUUUUAACCCUAGGGCUUUCAACAAGAGAGGUAAUAUGAGGUCAAAUAUUCAUAUAUCAUUGUACAACAAACAAAUAGUUAAUUUUACUAUUUUUUUCUCGCCAAAUAGAUUCAAAUAAGUCAUUGCAGUAGCGGCACCAUGAUGCCAAAUUUAGUCUUAAUUAAAAUGUUAUAAAAUUUGAAAAAUAUAUAAUUUCAAUAGAGAUUUGUCUGAUUUGGUUUGUUCAGUAUAAUUACAUUAAAUUUUAGUUAUUUAGUCAAUUAGAUUUAUAAAUCUUCAUGCACCCCGUUUUGACAGGAUUUCAAGCUGUAUGAAGACCAACCUCAGCAUAGAGUGCAGGGACAUAAACGAUCCAGCCCGAGUGGACGACGUGAAAAUCUCGCUCGUCGGCGAGAGCUUGCCUGUGAAAUUCUCGACGGGUCCCACUAAACACUGCCCGAGAUGAUUGCCCGAGAUGACUGCCUGAGAUGAUUUCCCAAAAUGACUGCCUGAGAUGAUUGCCCGAAAUGAUUGC